GACGUAGGGCGCAAGCGUUGUCCGGAUUUAUUGGGCGUAAAGAGCUCGUAGGCGGUUUGUCGACGUCUGCUGUGAAAUCCCAGGCUCAACCUCGGGCCUGCAGUGGGUACGGGCAGACUGGAGUGCGGUAGGGGGAGAAUGGAAUUCCUGGUGUAGCGGUGGAAUGCGCAGAUAUCAGGAGGAACACCGAUGGCGAAGGCAGUUCUCUGGGCCGUGAACUGACGCUGAGGAGCGAAAGCGUGGGGAGCGAACAGG
rnacentral:rRNA from 1 species